rnacentral:rRNA from 1 species
AUUGAACGCUGGCGGCAGGCCUAACACAUGCAAGUCGGACGGUAGCACAGAGGAGCUUGCUCCUCGGGUGACGAGUGGCGGACGGGUGAGUAAUGUCUGGGGAUCUGCCCGAUAGAGGGGGAUAACCACUGGAAACGGUGGCUAAUACCGCAUAACGUCGCAAGACCAAAGAGGGGGACCUUCGGGCCUCUCACUAUCGGAUGAACCCAGAUGGGAUUAGCUAGUAGGCGGGGUAAUGGCCCACCUAGGCGACGAUCCCUAGCUGGUCUGAGAGGAUGACCAGCCACACUGGAACUGAGACACGGUCCAGACUCCUACGGGAGGCAGCAGUGGGGAAUAUUGCACAAUGGGCGCAAGCCUGAUGCAGCCAUGCCGCGUGUAUGAAGAAGGCCUUCGGGUUGUAAAGUACUUUCAGCGGGGAGGAAGGCGAUAUGGUUAAUAACCUUGUCGAUUGACGUUACCCGCAGAAGAAGCACCGGCUAACUCCGUGCCAGCAGCCGCGGUAA